GACAACCAAUGAAUCAACUCCUCAACAAUCAGGCAAUCAGUUCCCCUCGCCUACCACGAGGCAUUCGUCUUUGGGUUUGUUAGGUAAGUCACUCCCUCCUUCCCUCUAUCAAAAUCCAAUCUCCGGCCACUAAGAGAGAGAGAGAGAGAGAGAGAGAGAGAUGGGGGCGAUAAAAGCGGCGGUAGGGGACGCGGUGUUGACUGCGAUGUGGGUGUUCUGCGCGUCGACACUGGGGGCACUGACAUCGGUCAUAGCCUCUGCAAUUGGGGUGCAAGGGAUGUCGGCGCUCUUCAUCACCACCGUCCUCAUCUUCUUUCUCGUCACCGUCUUCGGCGUAAUCGGCGACGCCUUGGGUGGGGCCAGCUUCAAUCCCACCGGCACCGCCGCCUUUUACGCCGCCGGCAUCGGCGGCGACUCCUUGUACGCCAUGGCUCUCCGCUUCCCGGCUCAGGCAGCUGGUGCAGUGGGUGGUGCCUUGGCAAUUGUUGAAGUGAUGCCCAUGCAGUACAAACAUAUGCUUGGGGGACCGUCUUUAAAAGUUGACUUGCAUACUGGGGCCUUGGCGGAGGGGGUUUUAACCUUCCUAAUUACGUUUGCUGUCCUUUUUAUUGUGCUCAAGGGUCCCAGAAGCCCAUUGUUGAAGACAUGGUUAAUUUCAAUCUCAACUGUAGUGAUGGUUGUUACUGGCUCCAGUUAUACCGGACCUUCCAUGAACCCUGCCAAUGUGAGUACUGCCACAUAAUUUUGUUCAUAAGGUUCUUUGAGGACUAAACAAACCAUGAAAGUUCAUUACAUGACAUUGCCUUGCAUCAACUGAUGGUUCGCUAAUGCCUUUUUGUGUCCCAUUAGCUCUUUUUUUCCUUUGUUUCAUUUUUGAUGGCACUAAUUGAGUCACAAUGACUCUCUGCCAGACUUUUGUGGCAUUGGUCCUCACCUUUUUUUUAAGUGUCAAUCAUGAGAUAAGAUGCUAUACAAAUGCGUAUAUACUUUUGACGAGAUGUCUGUAUACAAAUGUCAAUCAUUUAAGAAUUUUUUUGUAUGUUUUCUGUUUCUCGUCAACUGCAUAUUACCUUGCAAUUUGUUUGUUUUGCAUUAUUCCUUUUGGACUCUCUCUCUCUCUCUCUCUCUCUCUCUCUCUCUCACACACACACACACACACACAUUUCCUACCCCUUUAGUCAUAGGCGCAAAGGAUUUAUCUACCACAUGUAGGUAGAGUAUGUUUUGAUACUGCUUUUGAUCUUUGGAUGCCCAUUUUGUAGUGUUUCCUACCCCCUUAGUCAUAGCACCCGGAUUUUAUCUACCAGAGACUCUUAGAAUAUGUUUCUAUACAACUUUUGAUCUUUGAAGGCCCAUUGUGGAUAGUGAACUUCACAAGUUACUUGGAACUUCAAAGAAGUAAACAUCUUCUGAAAUAGAAAUAUGAGUGUGUGUGUGUGUGUGUGUGUGUGUGUGUAAGAGAUAGAGAUAGAGAGAGAGGAAGAGUAAUAGUUUAUUCAAUGUUAGUUCAUCAUGCUUGGUUGGGAGUGAGGGCGAGAGGAGUGAGUUUUGUUAGAAUUUUCUAGCGGAAGCCCGAGAAGCUACAGAUUGAAAGAUGGGAAAAGAAAAAGAGUGUACCACAAAACUAUUACUGCAACUCUAUUGAAGAAAACAUGGAAUGUCUCUAACUGGCCAUAAAAGGUUGCUUCAUGCCCCUUCAGUGGCCAAUCAUCUUACUGGCGGGCUUUAUUUUCUUUUGGAAGCUAGGGUUUAGAGGCUGAAAAGUUCCCUAAACUAAAGAAAGACAGACAAUAACUUGGAAAGUAUUCUGGGGGAACAAUAGAAAGCUUCAUUCUGGGGCCAGUCUAUUCUUUGGUGUCAACUGGAGCCUUUUUAACAACAUUGUGGGGAACACUUGCAGUGCAUUUACCUCAAGACUUGCAUCUUUUUCCUUAAUUAGACGAUUUCUUUUGCCUCAGCUUUUGAUCUUGUCCUUUCACCUACACACUUUGCUGUUGCACUUCUCUCUUUGUAGCGAGCUCCUAAACAGCUUUAAAUUCAUUGUUUUCUGGGCAUGAGAUUUCUACAACUCUACUUGGAGUGCUAGGUGCCUCAAGUCUUUGCAUAUACUCUUCAACAAAUGUACUUGCUCACACGGCUUUACAUCAUAAUUUGAGGGCAUAUACUUCUUUGGGAGCUCAGCUUUAAUAGCUUCCUAGGUGCUUAUUGGCGGUGAAUCCAAUCUUUUAAAUCCCCUACAACAUGAUACAACUCCAACAAUUACCAUCUUAUACAAUCGAACUUUUCUAUCAUUGGUUAUGUUAUUUCAAUAGAAAAACUCGUUCAUUAAAGCAAGCCAAUCGGAGGACACCAUAGGAUCAUCCCUUACUUGGAAAUCCGGAUUUCUUUCUUAUAGGUAUGACGUAUUGUGCCAUAGGAUCUCCCACUUAGGAAGAACAGGGUGGCAAGCUUAAUACUAAUACCAAAACAGUUGUAGGAGAAGUAUGGGGCUGUUCUUGGUGCUGCAAAUAGGGGAUAAUUAUGAUUGUGUUUUUCUUUUUUUUUUCUUUUUUUAUGUGUUUACAGGCUGAAAAGUGAAAAAGUGCAGAAAAUUUAAAGCAAGAGAAUAAGAAAAGAAUUCUAGUAAUUACUCCUAGAACCCUUAGGCAAAGGGCAUAUGGCCAAACUUGUUUCUAAUACUUAGGGAAUAAGGCGGCUUGGUUUGUGUCUCUGUUGUGCAUACCCCGCAGGUUGCAUCUCCCUUUCAGAUGCAUUGUUUACUUGGUCCUUCGUCUUUCUAAAAUCUGAAGGUACUAGGUCCUAGUUUGAGUUCAGUACAAGUCCCAGAUUGUUGGUUGUGUCAGUUAGGAUAGUAUCAUUUUGCUACUUUUGCUUCCCAGCUAUAU